rnacentral:rRNA from 1 species
UAGGGAAUCUUCGGCAAUGGGGGCAACCCUGACCGAGCAACGCCGCGUGAGUGAAGAAGGUUUUCGGAUCGUAAAGCUCUGUUGUAAGAGAAGAACGUGUGUGAGAGUGGAAAGUUCACACAGUGACGGUAACUUACCAGAAAGGGACGGCUAACUACGUGCCAGCAGCCGCGGUAAUACGUAGGUCCCGAGCGUUGUCCGGAUUUAUUGGGCGUAAAGCGAGCGCAGGCGGUUUAAUAAGUCUGAAGUUAAAGGCAGUGGCUUAACCAUUGUUCGCUUUGGAAACUGUUAAACUUGAGUGCAGAAGGGGAGAGUGAAUUCCAUGUGUAGCGGUGAAAUGCGUAGAUAUAUGGAGGAACACCGGUGGCGAAAGCGGCGCUCUGGUCUGUAACUGACGCUGAGGCUCGAAAGCGUGGGGAGCAAACAGG